UGUAGCAAUACAUUGCUGGCGACCGGCGCACGGGUGAGUAACACGUAUCCAACCUGCCUUUUACUCGGGGAUAGGCUUUCGAAAGAAAGAUUAAUACCCGAUGGCAUAAUAUUUCCGCAUGGGAUUAUUAUUAAAGAAUUUCGGUAAAAGAUGGGGAUGCGUUCCAUUAGGCAGUUGGCGGGGUAACGGCCCACCAAACCUUCGAUGGAUAGGGGUUCUGAGAGGAAGGUCCCCCACAUUGGAACUGAGACACGGUCCAAACUCCUACGGGAGGCAGCAGUGAGGAAUAUUGGUCAAUGGGCGCAGGCCUGAACCAGCCAAGUAGCGUGAAGGAUGACUGCCCUAUGGGUUGUAAACUUCUUUUAUAUGGGAAUAAAGUUUUCCACGUGUGGAAUUUUGUAUGUACCAUAUGAAUAAGGAUCGGCUAACUCCGUGCCAGCAGCCGCGGUAAUACGGAGGAUCCGAGCGUUAUCCGGAUUUAUUGGGUUUAAAGGGAGCGUAGGUGGACAGUUAAGUCAGUUGUGAAAGUUUGCGGCUCAACCGUAAAAUUGCAGUUGAUACUGGCUGUCUUGAGUACAGUAGAGGUGGGCGGAAUUCGUGGUGUAGCGGUGAAAUGCUUAGAUAUCACGAAGAACUCCGA
rnacentral:rRNA from 1 species